rnacentral:rRNA from 1 species
UACGAGGGGGGCAAGCGUUGUUCGGAAUUAUUGGGCGUAAAGCGUGCGCAGGCGGUUUUGUAAGUCUGACGUGAAAUCCCCGGGCUUAACCUGGGAAUUGCGUUGGAGACUGCAAGGCUGGAGUCUGGCAGAGGGGGGUAGAAUUCCACGUGUAGCAGUGAAAUGCGUAGAGAUGUGGAGGAACACCGAUGGCGAAGGCAGCCCCCUGGGUCAAGACUGACGCUCAUGCACGAAAGCGUGGGGAGCAAACAGG